rnacentral:RNase_P_RNA from 1 species
CAAGGAGGCUGGGCGACCGCUGUUCCUUCGCAAGAUGGAAGAGAGGAAAGUCCGAGCUCCUCAGGGCUGGAUGCCCGCUAACGGCGGGGCGAGGCAACUCGACGGACAGUGCCACAGAAACAUACCGCCCGGACUACGGUCUGGGUAAGGGUGAAAAGGUGCGGUAAGAGCGCACCGCUCCGGUGGCAACAGCGGAGGACAAGGCAAACCCCAUCCGGAGCAAGGCCUAAUAGGGGGAUCACGGGUGCCCGUCCCUUCCCCGGGU